UACGUAGGGGGCGAGCGUUGUCCGGAUUUAUUGGGCGUAAAGAGCGUGUAGGCGGUUCGGUAAGUCUGUCGUGAAAUCCUGAGGCUCAACCUCGGGCGUGCGAUGGAUACUGCCGGGCUAGAGGGUGGUAGAGGCGAGUGGAAUUCCCGGUGUAGCGGUGAAAUGCGCAGAUAUCAGGAGGAACACCAACGGCGAAGGCAGCUCGCUGGGACGGUACUGACGCUGAGGCGCGAAAGCGUGGGGAGCGAACAGG
rnacentral:rRNA from 1 species